UCCGAUAUGGUGUAACGGCUAACAUUACCGCCUUUCAUACUGCGUCUCGCGGUAGCUCGGGGUUCGAUUCCCCGUAUCGGAG